CCCCAGCAUCGCCCAAAUCCCGACAAACCCAACCAGAGCUGGGACCCACUUCGCUCCGGAGACUCGGGAUCGGGGCCCACGCACAGCCCAAAACCCUAAUCCUAUCGAAAAUGUGAGCUAUUUCCUCCGGGGGGGCACAAGAGAGCCCCCCCCCUCCCACUACAAACCAAAAAAAUCCUUAUUUUUUGGGUUAAAUAGAUUUUUUUCCCCUUGCAAAGCGCUUUGUUCCAGCUGGAGGGAGAUGCUGGCUCAUCCCCACGGUGUGAUGGAAGUGGGGGACCCCCCCCCCCAUUUAAUUCUUGAUUUUUUUUGGUGGAAAAAAAAAAGCCCUCGGGAAUAAGUCAGCAUUUUGUUUGACUCGAUUGUAUUUGCAAAAAGACUGUUUAAAAAGUUAUUUGGGAGGAAAAGUCUGUGGCCAAGUGGGGGGGAGGUACAGGCAGGGCGGUGUGGGCAGGGGUACAGGCAGAGACCCCAGCCCCGGGGGGGACCCGACAGCCCCGUCACAGCAUCUUUUGGGAGCGAGCGAAGGGGGAGGGGGCAAUAAAAAAUCAGUUUUCUUGGGGAGCUUCCAAAAAAGAGAGAAGGAUUUUUAUUGGGGUUUUUUAAAAAUUUUUUUUGCCCCUUUUUCCAGGAGCCGCCGGAGCAGCCCGUGCCCGGGGAGAGCCGGCCCGGAGCGGGCAGGGGGCGGGCAGGGGGCGCGCAGGGGGCGCGCAGGGCCGCGGCCCCUCGGCCAACGCCGACAGCUCCGCGGGGCGGGGAAAGGCAGCGCGGGGAGCGGAGAGGGGCGACGGGAGCCCUCGCACAGUCUCGGCAGCUUUUUUUCCUUUUUAUCCUCUUUUUCCUCUUUUUUUUUUUCUCCUCUUUUUUACCCUUUUUUCUCCUCUUUUCCCCCCUUUUUCUCCUCUUCCCCCCCUUUUUUUUCUCCUUCCCUUCCCCUUUUUUCUCUCCUUUUUCUCUCUCUCCGUUUUCCACUUUUUAUCUCAUUUUUCUCUCCCUUUUCUCCUUUUUUCCCCCCUCCUUUUUCUUUUCCCCCCUCUUUUUCCCCUCCCUUUUCUCCUAUUUUCCCUCUCUUUUUUCUUCCACUCCCUUUUCUCCUAUUUUCCCCUCUUUUAUUUCCCCUCCUAUUUCUCCAUUUUUUAAAUCUUUUUUUCCCUCCCUUUUCUCCAUUUUUUUCUUUUUUCCCCCUCCCUUUUCUCCUUUUUCUCUCUUCCCACCCUUUUCUCCUUUCCCCCCCCUUUUCUUUCCCCCCCUUUUCUUUUUUUCCCCCUCCCUUUUCUCCUUCCCCCUCCCUUUUUUG
rnacentral:lncRNA from 1 species